rnacentral:rRNA from 1 species
GUGCCAGCCGCCCGCGGUAAUACGGGGGGGGCAAGCGUUGUCCGGAAUUAUUGGGCGUAAAGGGCGCGUAGGUGGGACAGCAAGUCUGGGGUGCAAUCUUACGGCUUAACUGUAAGCUUGCCCUGGAUACUACUGUUCUUGAGUUCGGAAGAGGGUAGUGGAAUUCCUGGUGUAGCGGUGAAAUGCGUAGAUAUCAGGAAGAACACCGGUGGCGAAGGCGGCUACCUGGUCCGAUACUGACACUGAGGCGCGAAAGUGCGGGGAGCAAACAGG